rnacentral:rRNA from 1 species
AACGAACGCUGGCGGCAUGCCUAACACAUGCAAGUCGAACGAGACCUUCGGGUCUAGUGGCGCACGGGUGCGUAACGCGUGGGAACCUGCCCUUAGGUUCGGAAUAACUCCCCGAAAGGGGUGCUAAUACCGGAUAAUGUCUUCGGACCAAAGAUUUAUCGCCUUUGGAUGGGCCCUCGUUGGAUUAGCUAGUUGGUAGGGUAAAAGCCUACCAAGGCGACGAUCCAUAGCUGGUCUGAGAGGAUGAUCAGCCACACUGGGACUGAGACACGGCCCAGACCCCUACGGGGGGCAGCAGUGGGGAAUAUGGGACAAGGGGCGAAAGCCUGACCCAGCAAUGCCGGGUGAGUGAUGAAGGCCUUAGGGUUUUAAAGCUCUUUUACCCGGGAUGAUAAUGACAGUACCGGGAGAAUAAGCCCCGGCUAACCCCGU